rnacentral:lncRNA from 1 species
GGACUGGGGCAAAUUAAAUUAAUUGAUUGUUAGAUUAUUAAUUAAUUAAUAUCAUGGUUAUAUCAUUGUGUGACAAGGGUUUGAUAAAUUACCGAAGCAUUUUUAUCCUAGUGACUAUAAUAUCCGAAAGCUUAGGUUGCGUUUCGAAAGGAAAGAAAUGGAAAAGAAUGGACACUAAUAAUUUUCCCUUUUCCAGGUUUCGUAUCUAGUUUUAAGAAGGAAAGUCAGUCAAAACUUAUUUUCUUUCUUGUUUUGAAAUUUUCUUUUCACAUUUUCACCUCUUAAUUUUAUCUAAAAUUAAAUAAAAAUAAUUUUUUUUUUUUUUACAAAAAACAAACAAAGAGAAAUAUAUAGUUUUCUCUAGAUUCUUCCUUUUAAUUCCUUUAUCUAGUUUCUCUUUCUUUUUCUUUACACAAUUUCCAAACACAGGCUUAAUCAUGGGAGAGAGAGGUUGCUAGGUUGUGUAAUUAGCAAAAUUUCAUGACACGUCUUAUUUGAUGUAAUUUGGAGAUUUAGUUUAUCAAUUACAAGCAUUCGGAAAGAUUUCAAGCAUUCAAAAAGGUUUUUAAGUAUAUUCAUACAAGAUCAUGCUAACAGAGACUUGUAAGAUACAUCGUGGAUGAUAAACGGGACUUCAAGGGAUUUCGAGAGAUGACAAUCAUUAGAUCAUAGAGUUGAUAGAUUUUAAUUGUAAGAGUCUUGUAAUCAUCUGAACAUCGAGUUAUAGUGCAUGAUCUUUGUCCAGAGAAGGGAACACGUGAUUUUUCUUUCAUUCAAGGGUUUCCACGGUAAAAAUCUUGUGUAUUUCUUGGUUAAUGGGUUUGUUUCUUUUUAUAUCUUGAAUCUUACAAUAUUGCACAAAGUCGUGAUAUUCAUUUAAUAUUGUAGUUUUUAGAUCAUUGGGUAAAACAUAGACAAAUGUUAGGUUUUCUAAAUGUCAAUUACACAAAUAGAUACACAGUAUUAUUAUACAUAGAGGGAGCAAUAGCCCACAAGUAGAAGUUUCAGUUUCACCACACCCAUAUUAUUAACAGAUGGAAAUAUAUAUUUAUUCUUGAGAGGUACACACUGAUCACACAUCUACUGCUCCAUACCAAGUAAGCCAGAUAAUGGCAUUUAUAUCUCCAUUAUAUCACUUGAGAUGGUGGGUCUCAAUGUCUUUUGUGAUCUCAAUACAGAGGUCCAUCAAUUUGUUUGGCUCUUCAACAUCUUCUUUCGGCUUUUCAUAGUGAAAGUUCCAUGUCACCGAGGUGUUUUCCCCUUUUGUGUCCACAUGAACAACAAUCAUAAAGGUCUUGUACAGAUCCAUAAGAUCUCCUUCAACAACCUUGAAUGUCACGGACUUGGUUUCUUCUUCAGUUCUUCUAUUGCUUCAACAAUUUCCUUAGCAGCCUUCUCCUUUCUAUCUGUGGUUUUCAUCACAUUAAAUGCAACUUCUUAAGUCAAGCUAGUCAAGGCGUAUCCACAAUUUUAAUUUUGGGGAGCUGAAUAUAUAUAUAAAACACAUAAUUUGUAAAUUACACAUGUAAUAUAUUGGACCUAGAAUUUCUCUCCUAGGUGCUUUCAAUUGCUUGUAAUAAAACAUAAUAUUUUUAUGUAAUUUUUAUAUAUUUUAUAUUUUGAGUAUUUGUCUGUGAAUCCAACCCUAUAGUUGUAAUUUAAAGAAAUUCUGAAACUACGAGGACAAAAGUGCAAUUUUGUACUAGAGGAGGUUAAGAAGACUAUAAAUACAUGAGGGAGGCAACCCUAAUUGGGAGUAAGAGCCAACAAUAUUGUUUAUCCAUGCUCUUUGUGUACUUGAGAGAUUUUUAGAGAAAUCAUUGAGCUUCAUCUUUUCUCUUAAGGUGUGUUUAUCAUAAACUCAUCAAAUCAAGAUUUAAAUCCUUUGGACAUACUCAAAGGCGGAUAGAUUUAAGUUCAAUUCAUAGAUGAUUGUUGAUGAUUCAAUACUCAACCAUUAACUGAAGCGUAGAUCGUGGACUCAGUCAGUACUAGGAUCACAUUCACAUGUUCGAGGAUUUGACACCUAAGGCGCGUGAAUUUAGUUAGAUUGAGUUUGUAAGUUAUAACUUAUAUUUUGCAUAGUGGAUUAGUUGAUCGUACUUAGUUCCAGAUUUUUUUUUCUACUUUGAGAUUUUGCACGUAAAAAAUUGCUUGUUUUUGUGUGUGCUUGAUUUUAUAUUUAUUUGAGGUUUUUAUUUGUUUGGUUAAAUAGCUUCGCAAAUUCAUAAAACGAAUAAAACUAUAUUUUUAAUUUUACAAUUGGUAUCAGAGCGGGUCACUCAAAAUAAAAUAUUUUUUUAUUUUUUUUCAGAGUAUGGUCUGAUUGAUUUGUUUCUAUGUAUAAAUUUGAUCGUAAGAAGCUUGACAAUAUUCAACAAGCCUAUGAUAACUUUGUAAGGAGUCUUAUGAGAAGAACAAAAUUUAUGAAAAAUGUAAUGCAAAAGUGGAAUCACUUAAGAAGUCUUAAGAGAUGAAUAUAAAUAAGAGCUAAUUGAAGCUCAAGCUACCGUGGGUGAAUUGAAUCGUAUAAUGCUACUUUGUCUAAAAAAAAAAUUAUUAUUGAAAAAGAGAAAAAAUAAAUAUUUGAUAAGUUGAAUUUACUUUUUGAAAAACAUUUAAAACCUGACAAAGAUAUGCAUUUGUGUCUUGAGUCAAAAGAUAAUCUUGAGGAAAAAGUGGGUAAAUUAGAAUUUGAUCUUAGUGCUUCUAAUGCUACUCUCGAGAAGUUUAAUGCAGAUUCAAAGGUUUUGGAUGAAAUUAUUUGCGUGCAAAAAUUUUCUUCUGACAAGAGAGGACUUGGAUAUGUUGAUAAGCCUUCAUCUUCUUCCAAAUCGGGGAACAUGGAUAUUUUUGUGAACCCUAAAAAAUGUGGUUCCAAUCUUUCCAAGGCCAACCAAACAAAGGGAUCUCCUAAGAAAACCGUCACAAAUGUAUAGGUAAAAUCAUCUAAUUUUAAUCUUGUUUGCCAUCAGUGUAGUGUCCAUGGUCAUAUUAGGCAUUUAUUGAUUUAAUGAUUGUUUUGAUGAUAUUUGAUGAUGUCAAGGUUUCAUCAUGUAUGGUCUUAAUAUUGAUAUAUGCACAAAAUGUAUAUAUAUAUAUAUAUAUAUAUAUAUAUUAUUUAUCAUAUUAAUACAUAUAUAUUAGAUUCAUGGUAUGAUUAUGCGUAUUCUACAUUAGUAUUUUUCAUUCUAUUAGUAUUAUACACCUUCAAAGUUCAGUCGAUCAAAAUUGCAACUGAAACAAAGUUUGAUUGACUGAAGUUGACUUUUGGUCGGCCGAACUUUCGACCAAAAUUUAAAAUUUUCAAUCCUAACAGUCCAAAUCAAGUUCCAACGGCCCAAAUUAAAUUCUAAUUACUCUAUUACUAUUUCAACAAGUAGAUUUGCUAAGAUGGCUAUAAAUACAACCCUUAACUAGAUGCAAAUUAUGAUGGGAUGAAAUAGGUUUGAUAGGAUUAAUGACCAAUUAAAAUUCUUGUUAAAACUUAUACUAGCAAUGCACUCUCAAUUUAAGCAAAUAUAUAUAAACAACUUAAAAGAGGGGAGAGAAAAUAGUGCAAACGAUUUAUAAUGGUUCAACAAAUCUCAGCCUACGUCCACUCUCCAAACUUCUCAUUGGAAAUUCAUUAUCUUCAAAUUUGUGAGUGCUUGAAAAUCUUUAUAAAUACUAGAACCUUUUAGUCGUCAAGAGAGUCCCUCUCUUAGGAAUUUUACAAUUACUUAUAGUGAUCCUUUCAACAAGAUACAAUAGUUGAAGUGAUUCUUACUUACCAACUCUAGAUCAAGGAUAAAUACAAUCAUAUCUAGAAUGAUCUUGCUCACUUUGAUUUUUGGCAAAUCAAACUCACAAUAAAUGAACAAAUGAUUGAAGUAUUGAAUACAAAUGUUAUUAGGAUUUUAUGGCACUUCAAUACCCUUCCAACAAACCCAAGGAUUGAAUUAUAAGCCAAAAGUUAAAUAGAGUCAUUGCAGCAUGUAAUGCAUCUGAUUAAGCCAUUCUGAUUGAAUCUCAGCCGUUGGAUCUUGAUUUGGACUGCAGGAUUAAAAUGUUCAAACUUCGGUUGACCAAACUUUAAUUAUGGUCGAAAUUGCACUGAGAUUUCAGAGAUUAACUUUUCUUGUUUACUGAAGGGUUGGGGAACUUCGGUCGAGGUUUUGUAACUUUCGAUCGAACGAAUGUCAACUUCGGUUGACAUUGCUCUACAAUUUCAGUAAGCUCUUUAAUCUCUAAUUUGGCUCUUAACUGAUUUCGAUUGAUCGAAUCUUAACUUUGAUCGACUGAACCUUACCUUUAGUUAAGGUUGUACUAAAUUUUCAAUGAGCUCUUGGUUCCUCUAUUUUCACUUCAGCUAUGCUUUCUUAACUUCGGUCGACCAAUUGUGGACUUUGGUUGUAGUUGCUUUGUGUCUCCAGUGAGCUAGUCUGUCAAUGGAUUGGGCUUCCAUUUCACUUUGGUUGAGGGCCUUAAGCUUUGGUCGAUCGAAAUUGUGACGGUAACAACUUUUGUGUUGUUUCUUUUAUAGUUCAAAAUCGUCAAUUAUCCAUUUUGAGUUUAAAUGUUAAUUUGACUCUUCUAUCACUUUCAUGUGUAUAAUUACAUUGAAUAUAACUUGUGAAGAGUUAUGAAUCUCACUUUAAACAUGUGUAGCCUUAACUUUAAUAGCACUAUUGUUUUUCUUCAAGGAUGUGAAUUAGUCGAUUUAGUUCUUUCCAUUCUAAGUCAUUUUAUCAAUCUGUGUUAUCUAGAAAGCAUUAUACUAGGGGGAUGAAAUAUGUUUGCUAAGAUUUGAUGGCCAAUUAAAAUUUUUUCUUAAUAACUUACUCAAAUAAUGAACUUCUAGAUUUAACAAGUAUAUAAGCAAUGUAAAAAGGAGAGAAGAGAAAGAAGAUGCAAACGAUUUAUAGUAGUUCGGCAAAUCUUGGUUUACGUCCACUUUCUAAGUUUCUUCUUGAAAAUUCACUAAGUUUAAGCUUACGAGUGCUUGACAACCUUUACAA